UACCUGCUGUUUUCACUUACAUUAUUACAUAAACAUUAAAGAAGUGUUCAGAACACAUCACCACAUCAAAAACGUACAGAUGUUUUAAAUACGUUUGUGUGGAGCAUACAGCAUACAAGUCCCUGUGUAAGAUGUUCUUAUAACGUAUAAGCAUAUUCUUAUUAACCAUAAUGAUAAUGAUCAUGAGUCUUUAUUGGUCACGUAUACAUUAAAACACAGUGAAAUUCUUUUCUUCGCAUACCCCAGCAUGUCAGGAAGCUGGGGUCAGAGUGCAGGGUCAGUCAUGAUACAGCGCCCCUGGAGUAGAGAGGGUCGAGGGCUUUGCUCAAGGGCCCAACAGUGGCAGCUUGGCAGUACAUGCAGCCAUGCAGCUGACAUUACCGUAACAGACGUAAUAGAAAAGUAAUAGAAGUAAUUUUAUACAGAGCAAGAUUCUUUGGUAUGAUAAAAAUUGGAACAGAUCUUUAUCAGCCUAUUUAUCUACUUUCUCUUUCUGCAUACAUACCCACCUACACAUAAGCUUACAGUGGAAAGAUAAAACCCUCCUCCAUACAAACACACCUUCAGAGUUCACUGAGAACGGAACAUGGCAGAGGAGCUUUCGAAAGCCCGGCUCGACCUCAUUAAUGGCGUUAAUAAUGAUCUCCUUAUGGCUCUCGUUUAUGGUCUCAUGGAUUCAAAACCUCCUGUUCUUACUGUCAGGGAAGCUCAUGAGAUUCUCCAGACUCAGCAAGAGACAAAGGACAAGACUGGACUACUAGUAGAUAUAGUCUGUAAAAAGGUGACCAGGCCAGUAAAUCGUUGAUCUCUAUUUUGAAAAAAAAGGGUGGAAAUGUCGCCAAAUGCAUCGGCCUUCGCUAGGACAAAGAGAAACGUACGGAGAUGAAUGUACCCAAAUUCUACAAAAAAAAAAAAAAGAAGAAGAAAAGAAAAAGGAACGUGGAUGUUGGGAACAUGAAAAUGGAAAAGAGAUUCCUCAGAUCUGCCAAGCAUUCAUGUGAAGCCGACCUUUUAUACUGUACACUGUGGCACACAAAUGAAUAAAUAAAAAAUAUAUAUAUUGACAAACUGAUCAGAAUCCUCUAGUCUUUCUUUAAAUCAUCUGUUCUUUUUCUGCAUUGAAAGAUUCCUCACAGGACGUUAAUAAUAACGUCUAAAAAAGCUUUCUGUUUCAUGGAAAAUGUAGAACCAUGCCUGUUUCGUAACUUCAUAUCGAUUGUGUUUCAUGAAAAUAAGUUAUACCAAAGUGUGUUAGCCUACUUUUGUCGAACACUGCAGUCGGAUGUGUGUUCUCCUCUUUAUACCGCAGCAGUUUGCCAACGAUUACAAUUUUUCGUUUGUUAAAGAAGGGUGUGUAGCACUUUAAAAAAAAAAAAAAAAUUAUUUAUCAUUACAUUUAUUGUUCAAGAGAACAGGUUAGUUCCUGUUAACGCUUGCAUCAUAAAUAGUUGCUCCCUCACCAACAUUUCUGGUAUUCUUUCUCUUGAAAUUCACGAGACCAGAAAAACAAAUCUUGUCACAUAACUGAAUAAGAAGAAAACGCAAAACGUCCUCCGUCACGAAGACUAUCCCGUGUUAAACUUACUGACUGUUACAAAGC
ensembl:lncRNA